CACACAGCUCAUAGUACAGGUCCCCUUAGUGCCACCUGGGCUCACUGAAACUGUAAGUGAGCAGACAGGGGCAACCUGGGAGCAGCAUACUAACCAAACCAUUGUCCACAACUCCAUUAUUCCAAAACGGUAUUCAGAAACCAGUUUUCAACCAAACCAUUUU